ACGUUCCCGGGCCUUGUACACACCGCCCGUCACACCACGAAAGUCGGAAGUGCCCAAAGCCGGUGGGGUAACCUUCGGGAGCCAGCCGUCUAAGGUAAAGUCGAUGAUUGGGGUGAAGUCGUAACAAGGUAGCCGUAUCGGAAGGUGCGGCUGGAUCACCUCCUUUCUAGGGAGA
rnacentral:rRNA from 1 species